GAACUGCAUCUGAUACUGUUAGGCUAGAAUAGGUGAGAGGAAGGUAGAAUUCCAGGUGUAGCGGUGAAAUGCGUAGAGAUCUGGAGGGAAUACCGAUGGCGAAGGCAGCCUUCUGGCAUCAUAUUGACACUGAGGUUCGAAAGCGUGGGUAGCAAACASGAUUAGAUACCCUGGUAGUCCACGCCGUAAAACGAUGUCUACUAGUCGUUGGGUCCCUUGAGGACUUAGUGACGCAGCUAACGCAAUAAGUAGACCGCCUGGGGAGUACGGCCGCAAGGUUAAAACUCAAAUGAAUUGACGGGGGCCCGCACAAGCGGUGGAGCAUGUGGUUUAAUUCGAUGCAACGCGAAGAACCUUACCUGGUCUUGACAUAUCUAGAAUCCUGCAGAGAUGCGGGAGUGCCUUCGGGAAUUAGAAUACAGGUGCUGCAUGGCUGUCGUCAGCUCGUGUCGUGAGAUGUUGGGUUAAGUCCCGCAACGAGCGCAACCCUUGUCCUUAGUUACCAGCGGGUUAAGCCGGGAACUCUAAGGAUACUGCCAGUGACAAACUGGAGGAAGGCGGGGACGACGUCAAGUCAUCAUGGCCCUUACGACCAGGGCUACACACGUGCUACAAUGGUAGGUACAGAGGGCAGCUACACAGCGAUGUGAUGCGAAUCUCAAAAAGCCUAUCGUAGUCCAGAUUGGAGUCUGCAACUCGACUCCAUGAAGUAGGAAUCGCUAGUAAUCGCGGAUCAGAAUGCCGCGGUGAAUACGUUCCCGGGCCUUGUACACACCGCCCGUCACACCAUGGGAGUUGAUUGCACCAGAAGUGGAUAGCCUAACCUUCGGGAAGGCGUUCACCACGGUGUGGUUGAUGACUGGGGUGAAGUCGUAACAAGGUAA
rnacentral:rRNA from 1 species